GGCGGCAGGCCUAACACAUGCAAGUCGAGCGCUCUCUUCGGAGGGAGCGGCGGACGGGUGAGUAACGCGUGGGAAUAUGCCCUUCUCUACGGAAUAGCCUCGGGAAACUGAGAGUAAUACCGUAUACGCCCUUCGGGGGAAAGAUUUAUCGGAGAAGGAUUAGCCCGCGUUGGAUUAGGUAGUUGGUGGGGUAAUGGCCUACCAAGCCGACGAUCCAUAGCUGGUUUGAGAGGAUGAUCAGCCACACUGGGACUGAGACACGGCCCAGACUCCUACGGGAGGCAGCAGUGGGGAAUCUUAGACAAUGGGCGCAAGCCUGAUCUAGCCAUGCCGCGUGAGUGACGAAGGCCUUAGGGUCGUAAAGCUCUUUCGCCAGGGAAGAUAAUGACUGUACCUGGUAAAGAAACCCCGGCUAACUCCGUGCCAGCAGCCGCGGUAAUACGGAGGGGGUUAGCGUUGUUCGGAAUUACUGGGCGUAAAGCGCGCGUAGGCGGAUUAGUCAGUCAGAGGUGAAAUCCCAGGGCUCAACCCUGGAACUGCCUUUGAUACUGCUAGUCUUGAGUUCGAGAGAGGUGAGUGGAAUUCCGAGUGUAGAGGUGAAAUUCGUAGAUAUUCGGAGGAACACCAGUGGCGAAGGCGGCUCACUGGCUCGAUACUGA
rnacentral:rRNA from 1 species